GCUGGGCAUGGUGGUGCAUGCCUGUAGUCCCAGCUAUUUGGGAGGCUGAGGUGGGAGGAUUGCUUGAGCCCAGGAGUUGGAGGCUGCAGUGAGCCAUGAUGGUGCCACUGCACUCCAGCCUGGGCAACAGAGUGAGACCCUGUCUCUA
ensembl:misc_RNA Metazoa_SRP Metazoan signal recognition particle RNA